rnacentral:rRNA from 1 species
AAGUCGUAACAAGGUAACCGUAGGUGAACCUGCGGUUGGAUCAUUACUGAUACUUGGCCUUGAGUUGAUACCGAAAGGAGUCCUCAUAGCCAAAUUCACCUCUUGUGCACUAAAUUGUCUUUUGGUAGUUUAUACCUUGGUAUAGGCUGCCAAACUUUUUAACAAACCAUAUCAACUUGUCUGAAAUUAUAUAUAAAUAUAAACAACUUUUGACAACGGAUCUCUUGGCUCUCGCAACGAUGAAGAACGCAGCGAAAUGCGAUACGUAAUGUGAAUUGCUUUCCGUGAAUCAUCGAAUCUUUGAACGCACAUUGCACUCCUCUGGAGUAUGCCUGUUUGAGAAUCUAUAGUAUUUAUUCCUCUUGAUUUCAUUCGUGAUUGAUAGAGGAGAUAUGAAGCUCCCAUUCUUUGACUGGGUUCUUUUAAAUAGAUUGCUACUAGUAAUACGAAAAUGCUUGACAUUUCUCUAUAUCUCUUAGAAAAGUAUGUGUAUGAAACUGUGGUUUCUCAUAAUGCCUAUUACAUUAGAGGGGAUUUGGAGUUUUCAUAUGAACAGUUUAGUCCAUACCUAUGAAGGCGAAAGCCUUGAACCAUGGUCUCAAAUCAGGUAGGAAGACCCGCUGAACUUAAGCAUAUCAAUAAGCGGAGGAAAAGAAACUAACAAGGAUUCCCCUAGUAACGGCGAGUGAAGCGGGAAUAGCUCAAAUUUGAAAUCUCCUUCGGGCGAAUUGUAGUUUAGAGAAACGUUUUCUGUUGGACGGUAGGUACAAGUUCUUUGGAACAAGACAUCAUAGAGGGUGAAAAUCCCGUCUUUGACCUAUCGAAAGGCUUUGUGAUACGUUUUCCAAGAGUCGGUUUGUUUGGGAAUGCAGACCAAAAUGGGUGGUAAAUACCAUCUAAAGCUAAAUAUUGGCGAGAGACCGAUAGCGAACAAGUACCGUGAGGGAAAGAUGAAAAGAACUUUGAAAAGAGAGUUAAACAGUACGUGAAAUUGUCAAAAGGGAAACGUUUGAAACCAGUAUUGCUUGCAAGAAUUCAGCUUUUAUUUAUAGGAGUGUAUUUUCUUACGGCGAGUCAACAUCAGUUUGGCUUGGAGCAAAAAGCUAUGGAAAUGUAGCCUUCGGGUGUUAUAGUCCAUGGUCAUACUCUAGGCUAGACUGAGGACUGCAGCGUUUUUGGCUUCGGCACACCAACGCUUAGGAUGUUGACGAAAUGGUUUUAAGCGACC